rnacentral:rRNA from 1 species
UACGUAGGGUGCGAGCGUUUAAUCGGAAUUACUGGGCGUAAAGCGUGCGCAGGCUGUUCUGUAAGUCAGAUGUGAAAUCCCCGAGCUCAACUUGGGAACUGCGUUUGAAACUACAGGACUAGAAUAUGUCAGAGGGGGGGUAGAAUUCCACGUGUAGCAGUGAAAUGCGUAGAGAUGUGGAGGAAUACCAAUGGCGAAGGCAGCCCCCCUGGGAUAAUAUUGACGCUCAUGCACGAAAGCGUGGGGGAGCAAACAGG